UCCCAUCUAAACUAAAAUUGGAACAAUACUAAAAUUGGAACGAUACAGAGAUAAGCAUGACCCCUGAGCAAGGAUGACACGCAAGAUAUAAUAAGAAAAAAAAAUAUCA